rnacentral:rRNA from 1 species
AGCUCCAAUAGCGUAUACUAAUGUUGUUGCAGUUAAAAAGCUCGUAGUCGGAUUUCAGUUUGUUUACGCUUAAUCUUUUAGGUUUUUGCGUUAGCUUACUUCAUGCAAGAAACUUUCAUGCCAUUUGUUUGGUUUGUUUUGGGACUUGCUCUUUUACUUUGAGAAAAUUAGAGUGUUCAAAGCAGGUAUUUGCCUGAAUAUUACUCUUGGAAUAAUAAUAUAGGACUUCAGUUCUAGUUUGUUGGUGAUCUGGAACCGGGGUAAUGAUUGAUAGGGACAGUUGGGGUCAUUCAUACUGCAAAGCGAGAGGUGGAAUUCUUGGACCUUUGUAUGAUGAACAACAGCGAAAGCAUUUGACUAGGAUGUUCCCG